UUUGCAUUUGAUUCAAGUUUGGGUAUAGGUUUGGGGUUAAAAUCAAGUUGUGGGUUAAUUUUGGCAAAAACCCCGUAAAAGUAACCAUUGUUUUUCGUGGACUAAUCUCCACGGAUAUGACAACUCCUGAGAUUAUAAAAAGACAGGGUUCAGAUUUUAUAGUAUCGGAGCCAGUUAGUAGAUGCGCGAAAGCAAUUUUCCAAGGUGUUUGUAGAGGAGAAGAAUACGUAGAAACACCAAGUUGGAUAAAGUGGUUCUUCUUGGUGAAGUCAGUGUGUCCUGAAGUAAUCAACUCCAUCUUCAACUAUUUUUUCCUCCAUUUUACCAAACCUUAUUUCAAACGUGAAUGAUAAAGGAACAAAUAAAUAGUUCUUUUGGGGGCAUAGAGGUUGCAACCGCAAUGCAAAAGCUUGGACUCUUCAUCAUUGGAGUUUCGCAUAAUGGUUUGGAUUGGAACAUUCUUUUUUCAUAAACUUUGGAGAUUUUACAUUUAUCUAAUUUAAGUAGUGGUACUUUUGUUUUAGUCGUGUCAAACAAACAAACAAGAGAUUCUUUUGCAUUGAAUAGUAAAAAUCAUAGUUUGAGUUA